UGUUCUAAACUGCUUCCUGCCUUAUUCCAGUAGGGAAGAAACCAGAAAAGGAAAGAGCUCUUGUGGGAUGUUUAGUAAGGCAGAGGAAGCUACAGAACCCCGAGCUGCAAGAGAUCAGCUGUUACUGAACUACAGCCUGCAAGACCAUAGGAGUGGGAUACAGCUGCCCUGAGGAACCUCACUGCCCCUGCAGGAUUCCCUCCUGGAAGCAAUGACAGGAAUACAUAAAAUCUGGCAAGGACAAAGUGUCAACGUUGCCAAAUGGUCUAGGAAUAUGUAGAAACAUUGUUCAAAGCUAUGAAAAUGUAAUUUUGUAACACAGUUUAAUAUGCUUUGAAUACUGCAGUGGCAGAAGUCUGUUCUUCAGCUGUUGGACAGGAAUUGAACUGGAAGGCAAAGGAUCAACCAAUCACCCCUGCAGACAGGAGAAUUUGGUUCAUUUGGCAGUUCACUAUGGGUUGUCUGGAUUGAAAUUACUGGUAAAAUCACUAUCACACGGUGUUCUAAUGUUGAUUAUACAGUUCUGCUAUUCCAAGCACUUCUUUGUACAAAGUAACACUCAGUAAAGUGAUGCUGAGCUUUA